UACGUAGGGGGCAAGCGUUGUCCGGAAUUAUUGGGCGUAAAGAGCGCGCAGGCGGUCGUUCAAGUCGAGUGUGAAAGCCCCCGGCUCAACUGGGGAGGGUCACUCGAUACUGAUCGACUCGAAGGCAGAAGAGGGAAGCGGAAUUCCCGGUGUAGUGGUGAAAUGCGUAGAUAUCGGGAGGAACACCAGUGGCGAAGGCGGCUUUCUGGUCUGCUCUUGACGCUGAGGCGCGAAAGCUAGGGUAGCAAACGGG
rnacentral:rRNA from 1 species